UACGGAGGGGGCAAGCGUUGUCCGGAAUUAUUGGGCGUAAAGGGCACGCAGGCGGUUCCUUAAGUCUGAUGUGAAAGCCCGUGGCUCAACCACGGAGGGCCAUUGGAAACUGGGGAACUGGAGUACAGGAGAGGUGAGUGGAAUUCCAGGUGUAGCGGUGAAAUGCGUAGAGAUGUGGAGGAACACCUGUGGCGAAGGCGACUCUCUGGUCUGUACCUGACGCUGAGGUGCGAAAGCAUGGGGAGCAAACAGG
rnacentral:misc_RNA from 1 species